CACGACACAAACUAGGGUUUUUCUCAUCUCACAUUUCCUCUCAUCCUCUACUCUCUCUCUCUCUCUCUCUCUCUCUCUCUCUCUCUCUACGGUGAUUGCAGCGACUUCAUCAGGCCUCUCUCUCGGAUCUCGCCAGAUCUCUCACCAGAUUUGUGAGGAUUUCACCAGAUCGAUGAAGGGUUUGCCAUUUCAACCAUCUCCCUGCUUCUCUCUCAAAAAAGAUCUAGGGUUUCUCUAGGCGGAGCCGAGCCACUGGCUCACUGCGACCUCGCCGGCGGUUUGAUCCUUCCAUGGAACCAAAUAGUCCGAGCCGUGUAGGCUGCUCAUAUCACCAAAUCCGGUUUCAGUGGCACUCUUUUCGUUUUUGGGAGUGAAGAACAAGCAGAUCCGGUAUCCUAACUUGAUUUACCGGGUUGCUUUGAACUUUUACAUGUGUGGACCUCUGAUGGCGUUGUGUUCAAGUACGGCUCUAAGCCUAUUCAGAACUUUCUAUACAGAUUGAUGAUGUGUUGUCUUAUAUGAUAUGUUUGAGGAAGAACUGAUCAGCCUGAAGCCCUACAUCAACUUCAAAAUGUGAUUCAACAUCAACAUCAGAUGAUAUUUUGUCUCGCAAUAAAAUGAUGAACUUUAUGUCUUCUAGGAUGGCUCUUAUUCGAGGGGUCCAGUUGACAUACCUGUUGGAGAAGUUAAUGAUUCCAACUACUUUUUAUCCCCAACGUUCAAGUUUGAGCAAAAUGGAGGUUGAGAGGCUCUACGACGUCGUUUCCGGUGCUCAGAAAUCUGUUUAUUGGCUUAUGUUUUUGGUACCAUGUCUCUCUUUUUGCCACUUGGAAACAAAGGGGAAUGCAUUUCUCAGUUGCUUCUGGUUCUUAGCAAAAUGAAUUUGGUUUUCAGUUAUGUGCCUGAAUUUUAUUUAGAAACUCUGGUUGAUUGUUUUCAUGUUUUGCGAAAGAGUGAUCCUCCUUUUGUCUCUACAGGAAUGUUUAUAAAACAAGGACUUGGUUCAUUUAUACGUUCCUCUUUUUCAAUGUUUGUAAAUUUAUAACUACGGAUAUAAACUAUUUACGUAUAAACUAAUGUUUUUGAUGUUUUUAUUCAGGUUACUUUUGUGGUUACCCAUUUCAGCGACCCGAGAAUAUCAAGCACAGAACUAAGAGUUCUACUUCUGCAAUCAAUUUCUGUAUUACUUCAGUACAAAGAGUUUUUGGCUGCUUUUGAGAGCAACCGAGCAACAACUCGUAGCCUCCCAACAUCACUUUUAUCAGUCUUUGAUAACCGAUCAUGGAUUCCUGUAACGAUUUGAGUUGUGGCUGCAAGUUUUGUAUCGGGUUACAAGUUGUCGGAUUCGGCUCAAGAAGGUGGCGACCCAUGUUUGCCGGUUGCAUGGUCAUGGUUGGAGUGUAAUUCAGAUCGUGAACCGAAGAUUAUAUCGGUCCGGUUGGUGCAAUCACUCCAUGUAAUUUCUCCAUCGCAAUGAUUGCUCGCAAGGUUGGCCCUGCUCUUGCCUGUGGCUGUACUGUGGUCAUAAAGCCCUCUGAGCUCACAUCAUUGACCGCCUUAGCAGCAGUUGAGCUGGCCCUUCAAUCUGAAAUUCCGCCUGGUGUCUUGAAUGUGGUCAUGGGAUAUCCUCCUAGCAUUGGUGAUUCUCUACUAUAGAGCACACAGGUAUCAUUUAGGAGCGGAUUUGUUAAGCUCGGGUUCGGUAGUUGGGGAAUCGUUAUUGAAAGAUCUUUGGCAACAUCAAGACGCCAUUUUGUGUUGUUCUCUAAAGCCGUAAAGCAAUCACCAGUCAGAGUUGUCUGUCAGAGAGCUUGCUUUUUGCAUGCAGCCGUAAAUGAAUAAUAACUAUUCAGAGUUGUCUGACAUGGAGCAUGCUUGGAAGUCUAUAAAUUCAACAUCAAGCUCAACACUCUACAAGCACUCAACUGAGAUGAUUUAAACCUUCAAAUUAAUAUCAAUACUCCUUUCAUCUGGGUCUUGCGUUGUUUCUCGGCUCUUCACAUCAAGGUCUUACAUUUUUUGUCGGCUUUUUACAUCUCUCUCUUGCAUUGUUGAAUAUUGUAGGUUAUGUGGUGAAUCGGAUCCGAAAACUGGGACAAAAUGCCAUAGCUGCCGCCUCCAUCAUGACGGCUAGGGUUCUGAUGAGUUGAAUCUGGUGAAGCAUAUCCGCAAGUCACAUGCCAUCUGUUUUCGCAUAGCCAUUGCUUCUGCAUUUGCUCCACAUAAUCCAUCUGUUAGGGAGGGAUGAUACGGGAUCCCUAGAACAGGCCCUUUUUGUGCUGGUACAUGAUAUGGGUCCAAAUUAGGAGCUUAUAAGUAAUGCCACUGUUGAUGUGUGUAUCUUAAGUCUACCUUGCUAAAUCGUGUGAGAUCGGGCUGCGAGACCAGGAACAAUGUGCUUCUUGCUGUUCCGGCACUUCUCUAUUCUAUCAAUAACUACUUGAAGUUCAUCAUGCAGUUAGCUUGUUCUAUAAUCAAUAGCCUUAUAUCCGAUAACAUAACUUUAUUUUCUUUUAUACAAUAUCUGAUUAUAAUUUUUUUGUUGCUCUAUUUUAAUCCAGCAACUGUAAAGAUGCUGAGCAAUCUAAAGGUUCUGGUUAUUGCAGUUUUGCUAAAGAUAAUAAUGAAACGUCAAUUUUCCAUUAUUCAGAUGAUGACAAGAAGGUCGACAAAGAAGCAUUAUGGCAGAGAUUGAAGUACUAAGAAAGGAGAGCGCCUGGGAUAAAUGGCACAAUUCAGUGGUGAGGGCCCAGAUGGAGCAAUGAAACAAAUACGGAACCUGGAUAACCUGGUCAAUCACAUCGGUCUGUACUCGGCAUUUCCGGCACAGCAGAUUGUGUGGGGGUGGCUUAUUGCUCUGGCUUAGUGACUUGCUGGUGAGGAUUUUCUGAUCUAUGGAGUCACAUUUGCUUGCCCAGGCUACCAUGCUCACCCCGGCGCUCAAGCGUGACCGCUUGCGGCACCCGUUGCGAUGCUCGCGAGCCACCUGGCUGCCAACGUGGCUCACCGAAGCGCUAACGGUUGCCACAACGCAGUCUUAUUGUUGUUUGCACCAUACACAACUCCAUGCUAACCAAGAAGCUGGAAUCGACAUGCUUGAUAAUAGUCUGAAGCUAACGUCAAUAUGAGCCUAGCAUGUGUGUUUCUUAGUAGAGUUUUAAUAAACAAUCACAAUUAUAUUAAAAUGUACUAAUUUUGGUUUUUUUAUUCAUGCAAUACAAAAGAAUUACAUAUACAAA